UACGGAGGGUGCAAGCGUUAAUCGGAAUUACUGGGCGUAAAGCGCGCGUAGGCGGCUAGAUAAGUCGGAUGUGAAAGCCCCGGGCUCAACCUGGGAACUGCAUUCGAUACUGUUUGGCUGGAGUAUGAGAGAGGGAGGUAGAAUUCCACGUGUAGCGGUGAAAGGCGUAGAUAGGUGGAGGAGUACCGGUGGCGAAGGCGGCCUCCUGGCUUAAUACUGACGCUGAGGUGCGAAAGCGUGGGGAGCAAACAGG
rnacentral:rRNA from 1 species